rnacentral:rRNA from 1 species
GAUGAACGCUGGCGGCGUGCCUAAUACAUGCAAGUCGAGCGAACAGACGAGGAGCUUGCUCCUCUGACGUUAGCGGCGGACGGGUGAGUAACACGUGGAUAACCUACCUAUAAGACUGGGAUAACUUCGGGAAACCGGAGCUAAUACCGGAUAAUAUAUUGAACCGCAUGGUUCAUUAGUGAAAGACGGUUUUGCUGUCACUUAUAGAUGGAUCCGCGCCGCAUUAGCUAGUUGGUAAGGUAACGGCUUACCAAGGCAACGAUGCGUAGCCGACCUGAGAGGGUGAUCGGCCACACUGGAACUGAGCCACGGUCCAGACUCCUAAGGGAGGCAGCAGUAGGGAAUCUUCCGCAAUGGGCGAAAGCUUGACGGAGCAACGCCGCGUGAGUGAUGAAGGUCUUCGGAUCGUAAAACUCUGUUAUUAGGGAAGAACAAAUGUGUAAGUAACUAUGCACGUCUUGACGGUAACUAAUCAGAAAGCCACGGCUAACUACGUG